rnacentral:rRNA from 1 species
UGGCUCAGGAUGAACGCUGGCGGUCUGCUUAACACAUGCAAGUCGAACGGGCGCAGCAAUGCGUUAGUGGCGGACGGGUGAGUAACACGUGAGAAUCUGCCAACGGGACGGGGAUAACAGGGGGAAACCGCUGCUAAGACCCGAUAAACCGAAAGGGGAAAAAGAAAUUGCCAGUUGAUGAGCUCGCGUCGGAUUAGCUAGUUGGUAGGGUAAGAGCUUACCAAGGCGACGAUCCGUAGCCGGUCUGAGAGGACGAUCGGCCACACUGGGACUGAGACACGGCCCAGACUCCUACGGGAGGCAGCAGUGGGGAAUUUUCCGCAAUGGGCGAAAGCCUGACGGAGCAAGACCGCGUGAGGGAGGAAGGCUCUUGGGUUGUAAACCUCUUUUCUCAAGGAAGAAGCAAUGACGGUACUUGAGGAAUCAGCAUCGGCUAACUCCGUGCCAGCAGCCGCGGUAAUACGGAGGAUGCAAGCGUUAUCCGGAAUGAUUGGGCGUAAAGCGUCCGCAGGUGGCAGUUCAAGUCUGCCGUUAAAGACUCCAGCUUAACUGGAGGAAGGCGGUGGAAACUGAACAGCUAGAGUGCGGUAGGGGCAGAGGGAAUUCCCGGUGUAGCGGUGAAAUGCGUAGAGAUCGGGAAGAACACCAGUGGCGAAAGCGCUCUGCUGGACCGCAACUGACACUCAGGGACGAAAGCUAGGGGAGCGAAUGGGAUUAGAUACCCCAGUAGUCCUAGCCGUAAACGAUGGAUACUAGGUGUUGUGCGUAUCGACCCGCGCAGUGCCGCAGCUAACGCGCUAAGUAUCCCGCCUGGGGAGUACGCACGCAAGUGUGAAACUCAAAGGAAUUGACGGGGGCCCGCACAAGCGGUGGAGUAUGUGGUUUAAUUCGAUGCAACGCGAAGAACCUUACCAGGACUUGACAUGUCCGGAAUCCUUGGGAAACCAGGGAGUGCCUUCGGGAACCGGAACACAGGUGGUGCAUGGCUGUCGUCAGCUCGUGUCGUGAGAUGUUGGGUUAAGUCCCGCAACGAGCGCAACCCUCGUUUCUAGUUGCCAGCAUUAAGUUGGGCACUCUGGAGAGACUGCCGGUGACAAACCGGAGGAAGGUGGGGAUGACGUCAAGUCAGCAUGCCCCUUACGUUCUGGGCUACACACGUACUACAAUGCUUCAGACAAAGGGCAGCUAGCCAGCGAUGGUCAGCAAAUCCCAGAAACUGAGGCUCAGUUCAGAUCGCAGGCUGCAACUCGCCUGCGUGAAGGCGGAAUCGCUAGUAAUCGCCGGUCAGCAUACGGCGGUGAAUACGUUCCCGGGCCUUGUACACACCGCCGUCACACCAUGGGAGCUGGCGGUGCCCGAAGUCGUUAUCCUAACCCCUCGGGGAGGGAGACGCCGAAGGCAAAGCUGGUGACUGGGGUGAAGUCGUAACAAGGUAGCCGUACCGGAAGGUGUGGCUGGAUCACCUCCUUUACAGGGAGACCGAACCCUACGGAUGGCCGAGAAGCUGAAAAGCAGGUCAAAGUGGAGGUCAAACCUAGGUCGAACGAGGCAGCAAAAACUGGCUUUCAAACUAAGAAAGGUUCGGCAAGCGAUGCUAACUUGCCAAGAUGGGCUAUUAGCUCAGGUGGUUAGAGCGCACCCCUGAUAAGGGUGAGGUCCCUGGUUCGAGUCCAGGAUGGCCCACCUCAAGCGAGCGACAGCUAUUAACUGUGGGGGUAUAGCUCAGUUGGUAGAGCGCCUGCUUUGCAAGCAGGAUGUCAGCGGUUCGAGUCCGCUUACCUCCACUGCCAGCUAAACAGGAGCCAACCGGAAAAGGUGAGCCACGGCCAGCCAAAAAACUAAAAAAAUAAAAAGUAUCUAGUUGUGAAAGAGCAACAGAUGCUAGACUAGAAAAGUUGGGCAAAAUCAACAGCACCUCCCCAGCCAUCAGGCGAGUGAGAAUGCUGGUUUUUUAACCAGCCAGAACCUGGAAAACUGCAUAGCCAUCACAAGCCAAACAAUUACAGUUGCAGAUAGAAAAUCAAAAACUAUCUUCAACCGAGCCAAGAAAAAGAUCGAACAAACAGUGGUCAAGCUAAUCAGAGCUGACGGUGGAUACCUAGC